rnacentral:rRNA from 1 species
AUUGAACGCUGGCGGCAGGCCUAACACAUGCAAGUCGAGCGGAUGAAGGGAGCUUGCUCCUGGAUUCAGCGGCGGACGGGUGAGUAAUGCCUAGGAAUCUGCCUGGUAGUGGGGGAUAACGUCCGGAAACGGGCGCUAAUACCGCAUACGUCCUGAGGGAGAAAGUGGGGGAUCUUCGGACCUCACGCUAUCAGAUGAGCCUAGGUCGGAUUAGCUAGUUGGUGGGGUAAAGGCCUACCAAGGCGACGAUCCGUAACUGGUCUGAGAGGAUGAUCAGUCACACUGGAACUGAGACACGGUCCAGACUCCUACGGGAGGCAGCAGUGGGGAAUAUUGGACAAUGGGCGAAAGCCUGAUCCAGCCAUGCCGCGUGUGUGAAGAAGGUCUUCGGGUUGUAAAGCACUUUAAGUUGGGAGGAAGGGCAGUAAGUUAAUACCUUGCUGUUUUGACGUUACAAACAGAAUAAGCACCGGCUAACUUCGU